rnacentral:rRNA from 1 species
AUUGAACGCUGGCGGCAGGCCUAACACAUGCAAGUCGAGCGGAUGAAGGGAGCUUGCUCCUGGAUUCAGCGGCGGACGGGUGAGUAAUGCCUAGGAAUCUGCCUGGUAGUGGGGGAUAACGUCCGGAAACGGGCGCUAAUACCGCAUACGUCCUGAGGGAGAAAGUGGGGGAUCUUCGGACCUCACGCUAUCAGAUGAGCCUAGGUCGGAUGAGCUGGUUGGUGGGGUAAAGGCCUACCAAGGCGACGAUCCGUAACUGGUCUGAGAGGAGGAUCAGUCACACUGGAACUGAGACACGGUCCAGACUCCUACGGGAGGCAGCAGUGGGGAAUAUUGGAGAAGUGGCGAAAGCCUGAUCCAGCCAUGCCGCGUGUGUGAAGAAGGUCUUCGGAUUGUAAAGCACUUUAAGUUGGGAGGAAGGGCAGUAAGUUAAUAACUUGCUGUUUUGACGUUACCAACAGAAUAAGCACCGGCUAACUUCGUG